AGGCCACUGGCCCUCCAGGAAUUGAGUUUGACACCCCUGAACUAGAGGGACAAAUUCCUGCAGAGUUUAGCACCUACAGAGCUACCACAAAUUUUCUUGUGAUCCUGAAUACCUUGAUUAGCUAGUUCAGGUGUGUUUAAUUAGGGCAAAAUUUAGCUGGAAGUUGGACUUUGUAAUUGGACUUUUGAGUUACCUUGUAGUUACUGAGAUGUUUAUCACAUUACAGUUAUUGAGAUGUGUGACAAAUUUCCCAGUCACAGGCUCAUAUGAACAAAAUAUCUUGUCAAGCUGGCAAGAUGGCCGCAGUACCUUGGGGUAAGGACAGACGAGGCAAGAGAAGAGAUGGAAGGAUGAGGAGAGACAGAGAUGAGAGAGGGAAGAGAGGAAAAGAAAAAAUAAUUCCUGAACACACUGUCACUUGGUCCUCAACCAGCUGAGAGGCUCUUUCUUACGGUGCCAUGCGAUGGUACCGGACAUCUUUGGUGGACAGCAAUGGCUGCUCUUAAUGAGGACAGCCAGCAAUCCCCCAUUCCCUGUUCCUGCCCAAUCAUGGGGGACGGCAGCAGGCUCCGGCUCCGGGACUUGAGACUGGCUGAUGUGCAACAACUCGGACAAACAGAGACAUCUUGGCUGGGUUAAAUGGAUGAAGACCAUGAGUGACAAAGCAACAAAUAACAAAUCUGCUGCCAAGUUAAUAAAAGCUGCCGUCAAGGAUGCAGCCACAGACAAAAUACUCUUCUCUUUCAGCUGAGACCAUUCAGCAUUACCCAGCUCUUUACUGGAGUGAAGGAAAAAGGAAACUUUGGUGACUAUUCCCUCAGCCAUCAGGUGUUGUUUAUUAGUGUGUUUGUGGGCACUUUUUAUGCCAGUUUAGAUUUGCAAGAAUGAUAGUUACAGUUUCAGCAUUAGAAAGGGCAAUAAGGGGAAAUACAAAGAAUCCUGAAAAAGACAGAAAUAAUGCAAGUGUUCACUCAUUCAGCUUUUUGUUAAAUCGCCUUUGCUUUGUUUUAAACACUUAAACUCCACUCAUAGGCCUACUGGAAAUGUUCCUCAGGAUUUCUCAGAAAAAAACUGGGGUGAUAACAAACACGUCUCAUUAUUUCUGAUCAGACCUGACAGCAGAGACUAAAACCGUUUGAAGUCGCUGGUGCCCCUGCUGUUAUCUAAAACUAGCCGCAUGCAGACCUCUCACUAUGGGGCAUCUGGACUGGCGGCACUCAGCCCCUUUCAGCUCACCAGUCUGUGCUAGGCCACUUAGACAGAUUAAUACUUAGCUAAGGGUCAGGAGAAAGUUUAGGGAAACUUUCAGCAACAACAGCUGAGUUCUGUCUAGUGCAAAACGUCAGGUGACAACAGCAAGGCUGGUUUAAUAAAUUAACACAAAUGAACUUUGAAGUCAGCUUGAUAUAUCAUACAGAGACUUAACAUAGUGUAACAUAAACAGUGG